rnacentral:misc_RNA from 1 species
AACCAUAGAAACCUGCGGAGUACCUGCGGAAGGAUCAUUACACAAUACAAUAUGAAGGCUGUCCGCAGCUGGAGUAUUUUAUUACCCUUGUCUUUUGCGCACUUGUUGUUUCCUGGGCGGGUUCGCUCGCCACCAGGACCACCAAAUAAACCUUUUUUAUGCAGUUGCAAUCAGCGUCAGUACAAACAAUGUAAAUCAUUCACAACUUUCAACAAUGGAUCUCAGAUCGGAAGAGCACAC